CGAAAGGGAAUACGGUUCCAAUUCCGUAACCUAUUGAGUAUACGUUUAUUGUGGGUCCUAUUUUUUCGGAAAUAGGUUUAAAGCUCAUCCUGGUAACAGAAGCUACCAUAGAGAAGCCGUCGAAGCAUACCGAAAGAGUUAUCUUUUCUGUUUCAUAACUGUAGGUAUUACCAUGGAAGUCUUUUGAAGGGAGACAUGGUAAAUAAGUUAGAAGAGCAUGCGCGGGGGGGGGGGUGGUGAGAGGAUAUUUUGAAAGGAUAUUAUUACGCGAUACUAUAAUACGAAACUCUCAAUCUGUUACUAUCUUUACAGUUUUCCAACGAAAGUCAACAAACAAUCAAUUCAGAACUGGCACGGACAAGGGGAAUCCAACUGUCUAAUUAAAAUAAAGCAUUGUGAUGGCUCUAACGGGUGUUGACACAAUGUGAUUUCUGCCCAGUGCCCUGAAUGUCAAUGUGAGAAAUUCAGAAAGCGCGGGUAAACGGCGGGAGUAACUAUGACUCAUUUGGCCCAAAUGCCCAUCUAAUUAGUGACGCGCAUGAAUGGAUUAACGAGAUUCCUACUGUCCCUAUCUACUAUCUAGCGAAACCACAGCCAAGGGAACGGGCUUGGAAUCAUUAGCGGGGAAAGAAGACCCUGUUGAGCUUGACUCUACUCUGCCACUGUAACGAAGACAUAAGAGGUGUAGCAUAAGUGGAACACAUUCAGCAAUGUUUAUCAACAAUGAAAUACCACUACUUUUAUCCUUUUCCUACUUACCUGAUUGAAUGGAGAAUACAUUUUCAUUCAUACCAUAUUUACUAGGAACCGUUGGCACGUUGAGAUGCUAUAAAAGGUGUUAAGACACGAUCCAAGUCAGGGACACUGCCAGGUGGGGAGUUUGACUGGGGCGGUAUAUCUCUAAAAUAAUAACGGAGGUGUCCCAAGGCCAGCUCAGUGCGGACAGAAACCACACGUAGAGCAAAAGAGCAAAUGCUGGCUUGAUCUCGAUGUUCAAUAAAUAUAGUGGCGGCGAAAGCUUUGUCUAUAGAUUCUUUUGGCUUUAAUGAAUUUUUAACAAGAGGUGUCAGAAAAGUUAACACAGGAUAAAUGGCUUCCAUUCUCUAUUUUUUUCUAUUUAUUAAAUAU
rnacentral:ncRNA from 1 species